rnacentral:rRNA from 1 species
AGCAGCCGCGGUAAUUCCAGCUCCAAUAGCGUAUAUUAAAGUUGUUGCAGUUAAAAAGCUCGUAGUUGAAUUUCGGGAUCAAUGUGUUGGUCGUGCCUUGGUACGUACUGGCAUUAUCGAUUCCUACCUUCUGAAGAACCUCGAUGUCAUUAAUUUGGUGUCUUGGGGAAUCAGGACUGUUACUUUGAAAAAAUUAGAGUGUUUAAAGCAGGCUCGCGCUUGAAUACAUUAGCAUGGAAUAAUGAAAUAGGACGUUUGAUUCUAUUUUGUUGGUUUCUAGGAUCGACGUAAUGAUUAAUAGGGAUAGUUGGGGGCAUUAGUAUUCAAUUGUCAGAGGUGAAAUUCUUGGAUUUAUUGAAGACUAACUACUGCGAAAGCAUUUGCCAAGGAUGUUUUCAUUAAUCAAGAACGAAAGUUAGGGGAUCGAAGACGAUCAGAUACCGUCGUAGUCUUAACCAUAAACUAUGCCGACUAGGGAUCGGAUGAUGUUAAUUUUUUAAUGACUC